rnacentral:rRNA from 1 species
AUGUGUAGCAGACUCGCUAUAUUGGGGUCAUGCCGACAGUUGCUCCUUUCCUUCCUCCGCUUGGUGCGGCCGCAGCAUGGCGACGCCGACGUGAUCAGAGGAGGGGGAGCCGCACUCUCGGUGCUCAGAGGCCGCCGCGCCGUUGCUUCAACGCGUCCACUGCCUCACGUAGUUGCCAUCAGAACGCCACGCCACCCGAUCAGAACAAGCGGAGCCCCGCCGCCGCCGUUGGCUGUGCGGGCAAGCCCGGCGGCGCCAGCCGGCAGCGGCGAGGGGGCGGCGCACGGAGCGAGGGCUUCCGGGAAUAUUGGAUCGAGACGCCGCCCGAGUCGCCCACUUGGACGAUGCGGGGGCCGAGGAAAAAGUCCCGCAGAGCCAGGAUAA